GAUGAACGCUGGCGGCGUGCCUAAUACAUGCAAGUCGAGCGAAUGGAUUAAGAGCUUGCUCUUAUGAAGUUAGCGGCGGACGGGUGAGUAACGCGUGGGUAACCUGCCCAUAAGACUGGGAUAACUCCGGGAAACCGGGGCUAAUACCGGAUAACAUUUUGAACCGCAUGGUUCGAAAUUGAAAGGCGGCUUCGGCUGUCACUUAUGGAUGGACCCGCGUCGCAUUAGCUAGUUGGUGAGGUAACGGCUCACCAAGGCAAAGAUGCGUAGCCGAGCUGGGAGGGUGAUCGGCCACACUGGGACUGGGACACGGCCCAGAAUGCUAGGGGAGGCAGCAGUAGGGAAUCUUCCGCAAUGGACGAAAGUCUGACGGAGCAACGCCGCGUGAGUGAUGAAGGCUUUCGGGUCGUAAAACUCUGUUGUUAGGGAAGAACAAGUGCUAGUUGAAUAAGCUGGCACCUUGACGGUACCUAACCAGAAAGCCACGGCUAACUACGUGCCAGCCGCCGCCGUAA
rnacentral:rRNA from 1 species